ACAAGUAAAAACAUAUUGUUAACACUUCCUAAUUUCCCCCAAAUUAUAAGGGUUUCCACUAGCAGUGCUAGAGAACAUAAGAAAUUCUUCACAUUGUAUUGAAUCCUCUCAGAACAGAAAUUUAAAAGAAAGAAGUGAGAAUGAUGAGAACAAGGUUGCUAUGGUUCACAUUGGGCUUUGGAUCCUCAACAACUACAAUUACCAACUUCGUCUUCAAAGAUCUCUAGGUUCCAAGACUGGGUCAAUCGUCAAAUUCUCUUGCAUAAUUAUCAGAUAAUUUCAGUUUGGGUUUUCAAUUUAUAUUCAUAUUUCUCUCCUCCAGCCCUAAUUUGGUCUGAUUGCCAUUAUCUUUCUCCUGUUUCUCUCCCCCCUCUGACAAACCCUAAAUUUCAAAGAAGAAUCUAGCUGGUUUGUUAUGGCGGCUGUGUGUUCGGAUUUUGCCUCCUCCAUCGUUGAUAAUAAAUUAAAAGUUAGUUUCUAACUGUGUAUAUUUGCUGUUAAGAAACUCAAUCUUAUUGGUACCUAAUUGUGGGUAAUUUCAUUGUACAUGUUGUUUGGUAAUAAUUAGGGAAGUACACAAUGUGUUUGAUAAAUUGUCUACUUGAACUAGAUAGUCAGCAACUCAGCUUGAAUUGCUUCAAUUUGAACAAAACUUGUAAUGACCAAACAUCAAGGAAAAUUUGUACAUGAAUCUCUGUAAUUGUUAGUGUUGGGGAUAAAGUUUUCUGCAUAACCAAUAAGAUGAAGCUUUUACAUUAAACCUCUUUGAUGUUUUAUGCUUUGGCAACUCCUAAAGUUUUGGACAAAUACCAUUAUAAGUUGGUGAAAGAAAAUGAAAUUGCAAUGAAUGAUUUAAAGGAAUUAAUACUUCACAUUUUUGAAUGAGUAACUCUUGGAUGACUAUCUUAAUUAGUUCAUAUAGGUGCAGCAUGUUCAGUAGGUGUAAUUGGUUGAAAGAUUUGGUAUGAAGAUAGUAUCUUCAUUAAUGCAGUUGACAAAAACCUUAUUUUGUAUCUCUACAUGUAUUGGUUUAAUAAGUUGUAGAGUUCCAACUCGAUCAUGUUUUUUCUUGAUUAAUGGUCUUAUAUGACAUUUAAUAGUAAAAAUUGUAAAGAAACAAGUCCUGGAAAAUGUUACUUAGAUGUGGGUACAAAAACUAUACUUGUUCAUCAACCUAGUUUCAAUAGACUUUAAGUGAUUCAAAUAUGUCAUUUAUAAUUUUUAAAUUGUAUUGUUUUGGCUAGAAGUACACAGCUGGUAUACUUUGUUAUUCUUUUAGUUUUGGCUAGGAGAGUUAUGGACAUAGAGGCCAAUUAUCAUUAUUCGGAUGAGUUAGUAUGAGGAAGAAAGAGUAAGUGUUUUAGGGAUUACUAAUCGGUCGAGGUGAGUUAAAAUUAAAUUUGGAUGCUAUUUUGUCUUGUAGUUUUAGCAUUAUGAGAGACAAUUUUAUAGCUGAGAAUGAUUUGCUUGCUGUGUGGAAGUUCACUUUUGGUUUUUUUGGGUUUUAUCUGAAAUGCAUAUUUUGAAUAUAUUUGGUUUGAAAUAUUUUGGUUGUUUUGUUGAGUUCUUGGUGAACUUGUUAUAAAGUCAGGAAAAUAAUAUAAAUAAUGAUAGAUCCAAAUUUGCCAAGCUAAACAAAGUGACAUGGAAGUGAGUAUUAGCUUUGAAUAAUUUGAAUAUUGUUAUUUGUUGAGUUCAUGGUUUACUUUUGGCCAUUUAAAUUUCAGUACUUGGGCUCUGUAUAAAUUUAAAUUAGAUUUGGCAGCUAUUACGUUUAUGCGUACUUAUCUCUUUGAUAUUAUUGACAAGCCUCAAUAAAGGGACAAUCCAUGUAGAUGCACCAGGGGUGUAGAAAAAGUCGCUCCUUCACAAGACAAAUCCGCCAAAAUAUAAUCUAUGGCUAAAACCUGGAGCACCAAAACUGAAGAGUAUGCAUAAGAUAAGUUUUCAUUGCAUUUUGACAAACACUAAAUUAUACUUCUCAAUUUUCAAGCCUAAAAAUCGUGGUAAAAAUUGUACACCCAAAAUAAAUGCAGUGACUUGGAUGAAAGUUUAGAUGCAGUGACUUGGAUGAAAGUUUAGUGAGAUGAACAUGUACGGGAAAUGAGAGAGAUUGCUGCUAGGAAUCUUUCACCAUCUUUUAGUGGGUUGGUAGAAAAUAAUAGGUAGAAAAACCAGUGCCAAUGGGCUAUAAGAUGUGUUCCUAAGGAAAUCUAUGCAGAAGUUGAUUGGUUUGGUAAUGAUGAAAAUAGGUUUAGUAUGAGGCGAUUUAGACAAGAGAAGAUUAUGUGAAAUGUGUGGGCAUUUCUCUCUUUUUCCUUAAUGUUGUUAUUUCUGUUCAAUGACAACAAACACCACUCUUAUGCACAAAUAUUUGGAAUUGAUAAUUCACUCUGAAGGUUUUGAUACACCUCAAAAUUUACUUAUGCAAAGUUUUAACGAAUUGCUAGUCCAUGUAAUAUCACAAUGUUGCUUGGUGUUCAUUCUAGGUUAAAUCAGUAAGAAAUUGCAUUUUGAUGUGGUGUGGAACUAUAUUUUUCUACUGAUUCCUGGCUUUGUGGACAUUUCAGUUUCUACUAAUUUAAACAAUUUGCCACUUGCAAAUUGUUGGACCAUAAAAAAAACCUUGUCGCAUUGGGUCACGUCUAUUCCUCCGCUGAAGGAUAGUUAAUUCAUGGAGUUGCACUCGGAGCG
rnacentral:lncRNA from 1 species